GGGGUUGACUGGAUUAGACAGCGUAUAAGUGUGAUGGUAAGCAUGUCGAGUGUUGUGAAUAUGGCUCGUUAAUCCUAAUUCUCACAGCUAUGUAAAUGGCGAUAACAAUAAUUACGCAUUAGCUGCGUAGUCAUAGCUCAGCUAGACUACCUUAAUCCACGAAACUAGAUUUCGGGACUAUGCCUUCCUGCAGACGGACCUGCUCUGUUCCAAGCUGUAUUUAGGGAGUCGAAAAUUCGGAGAUAGCUUUUUAGGAACCUCGACCAAGAAGUGAAAUUAAGAGGAUAAGGUUAAGAAUUGGGUGUCUUUUCCCGGUUCUUAUCUCGAAAAUUAAUAAGAGACUACACAUGUAGAAAGCCAUUGGGCUAUAAGUUUGGACGAGGGUUCGAAUCCCUCCAGCUCCACCA
rnacentral:tmRNA from 1 species